UACGGAGGGGGGCUAGCGUUGUUCGGAAUUACUGGGCGUAAAGCGUACGUAGGCGGCUUUGUAAGUUAGAGGUGAAAAGCCCCGGGGGCUCAACUCCGGAAUUGCCUUUUAAGACUGCAUCGCUUGAAUCAUGGAGAGGGUGAGUGGAAAUUCCGAGUGUAGAGGUGAAAUUCGUAGAUAUUCGGAAAGAACACCAGUGGCGAAGGGCGGA
rnacentral:rRNA from 1 species